ACCUCCUGACUCACAGGCACUGGCACACAAACCGGGCUCACGGCAGGCAGCACAGCGGCGGGCCCGGGGCUAUCCACCCACCCACGGCCCACGCCCGGCACUGGCCCCAGGCGGUGAGCACUGCUGGGGCCCAUCGCUCUCUGUCCCUGGCUUCUUCUCAAGGUGAGAGUCGUCAGGACGGGAGGGAACCUGAAAGUCCACCUAUUUCAAGCCCUUCAUCUUACAACCGGAGCCCGAGGCUUGGUGCUGGCAGGGAAGGCGGAGACUGCUGGUAGAGCUCAAGUGAGGGACCAGCUCUGCUAACAGGACACAGUGGCCAGGGUGCUGCUGGGACCGGGUCUGGGCUGUGCCACCCACUUUCCGAGUGAUCUGGUGGAGUCACCCAGCUCCGAGUAGGAUGAAUUUCCUGCUUGGCCACACUCCUGCACCUCGAACCCCAGGAUUUAGGGUUGCUGAAGAUUUUGCAACACCCGGAGAAGCAUAUGAGAAGUUACUGACCCCGCCUUUCUCGGAACACAAUAAUCCCCUUUCCAGACACAUUUCUCUUGAAAACUCCAGUGAUAGGGAACUUACACCUGUCAGAGCAGCCUAUACUUGCCCUAGACCAGUGAUGGCGAACCUAUGACACGCGUGUCAGAGGUGACACGCGAACUCAUUUUUUUG